AGAGUUUGAUCCUGGCUCAGAGUGAACGCUGGCGGUAGGCCUAACACAUGCAAGUCGAACGGCAGCACAGUAAGAGCUUGCUCUUACGGGUGGCGAGUGGCGGACGGGUGAGGAAUACAUCGGAAUCUACUUUUUCGUGGGGGAUAACGUAGGGAAACUUACGCUAAUACCGCAUACGACCUACGAGUGAAAGCAGGGGAUCUUCGGACCUUGCGCGAUUGAAUGAGCCGAUGUCGGAUUAGCUAGUUGGCGGGGUAAAGGCCCACCAAGGCGACGAUCCGUAGCUGGUCUGAGAGGAUGAUCAGCCACACUGGAACUGAGACACGGUCCAGACUCCUACGGGAGGCAGCAGUGGGGAAUAUUGGACAAUGGGCGCAAGCCUGAUCCAGCCAUACCGCGUGGGUGAAGAAGGCCUUCGGGUUGUAAAGCCCUUUUGUUGGGAAAGAAAUCCAGCUGGUUAAUACCCGGUUGGGAUGACGGUACCCAAAGAAUAAGCACCGACUAACUUCGUGCCAGCAGCCGCGGUAAUACGAAGGGUGCAAGCAUUACUCGGAAUUACUGGGCGUAAAGCGUGCGUAGGUGGUCGUUUAAGUCUGUCGUGAAAGCCCUGGGCUCAACCUGGGAACUGCAGUGGAAACUGGACGACUAGAGUGUGGUAGAGGGUAGCGGAAUUCCUGGUGUAGCAGUGAAAUGCGUAGAGAUCAGAGGAACAUCCAUGGCGAAGGCAGCUACCUGGACCAACACUGACACUGAGGCACGAAAGCGUGGGGAGCAAACAGGAUUAGAUA
rnacentral:rRNA from 1 species